CAGUAGCCGCGGUAACACGAAGGGUGCAAGCGUUACUCGGAAUUACUGGGCGUAAAGCGUGCGUAGGUGGUGGUUUAAGUCCGUUGUGAAAGCCCUGGGCUCAACCUGGGAAUUGCAGUGGAUACUGGGUCACUAGAGUGUGGUAGAGGAUAGUGGAAUUUCCGGUGUAGCAGUGAAAUGCGUAGAGAUCGGAAGGAACAUCUGUGGCGAAGGCGACUAUCUGGGCCAACACUGACACUGAGGCACGAAAGCGUGGGGAGCAAACAGGAUUAGAUACCCCAGUAGUCCCUGUCUCUUAUAC
rnacentral:rRNA from 1 species